GACCUGGUAGUCCACGCUGUAAACGAUGUCGACUUGGAGGUUGUUCCCUUGAGGAGUGGCUUCCGGAGCUAACGCGUUAAGUCGACCGCCUGGGGAGUACGGCCGCAAGGUUAAAACUCAAAUGAAUUGACGGGGGCCCGCACAAGCGGUGGAGCAUGUGGUUUAAUUCGAUGCAACGCGAAGAACCUUACCUACUCUUGACAUCCAGAGAACUUAGCAGAGAUGCUUUGGUGCCUUCGGGAACUCUGAGACAGGUGCUGCAUGGCUGUCGUCAGCUCGUGUUGUGAAAUGUUGGGUUAAGUCCCGCAACGAGCGCAACCCUUAUCCUUUGUUGCCAGCGGUUCGGCCGGGAACUCAAAGGAGACUGCCAGUGAUAAACUGGAGGAAGGUGGGGAUGACGUCAAGUCAUCAUGGCCCUUACGAGUAGGGCUACACACGUGCUACAAUGGCAUAUACAAAGAGAAGCGACCUCGCGAGAGCAAGCGGACCUCAUAAAGUAUGUCGUAGUCCGGAUCGGAGUCUGCAACUCGACUCCGUGAAGUCGGAAUCGCUAGUAAUCGUGGAUCAGAAUGCCACGGUGAAUACGUUCCCGGGCCUUGUACACACCGCCCGUCACACCAUGGGAGUGGGUUGCAAAAGAAGUAGGUAGCUUAACCUU
rnacentral:rRNA from 1 species